CCUUGGCAGAGUAGUACGCAUCGGUUGGUCGACAUUAUGCAAAGCAAUGAUAGCAGAUUGUGCAGCGUAGUCUACGAAAUGUCUUGGAGUGAGCCGAUCGAGCGUGACCAGGCGCUUGGAUGAAGGUCAGCCGGCUCCUCUAGUGCUGCUUGGAUCAUGGCUCGCCGACUUCCGUCUCCACAUUUUCUUGUCCACGCCCUUUCACUCGCCAGCCUGUCAAUGGCGUGAUUCUAUCGUUACUAGACUCGUCAGAUAUUUUCGCGUUGUGCGUUGGCAAAAUUACUGGGUUUGAUCGAGUGACACAGCUGAGGUUCGUAAAGCGGAAAAACUCCUUGACUUCAUGGACACAACAACAUUUGUGUUUCUUGUAUCUUUUUGUUCUUGCCGUGGAGCUGCUUUACCUAGUGACUGUAGCUUUACCUACAUGCACACGUGCAACUACCCCUUUUCCAAAACACCAUAAGAACAGACGAGCAGGGCGUGGAUUGGGCAAAUAUGUCGUUUUGUAUCAAAUCGUCCAAUAUUCUAUAAAUCGGAAUAACAGGUCGUGGUAUCCACGUGGCUAAAGAUUGAGAAGGCAUUAAGCAGGGGUUUCGUAUCUAUAGGUAGCGCUGCAACUACACACUCCCAUCAGGGUCUGCGGCGUGACGGAGUGCCAAUGUGCCAUACACCCCACUCACUUUCUUACGGGGUCCUGGAAGGAGUGAAAGUUGUUCAAAUAUGCACAGCACGUUUACAAUUUGUGUACCACCCCUGUAUAGCGCCUGCAUGAGCCCUCAAGGAAAAUAAAUGAUGAUGAUGAUGUU